UGUGAGCUGUGUCUUCACCAGGGCAA
rnacentral:piRNA from 1 species